UACGUAGGUGGCGAGCGUUGUCCGGAUUUACUGGGCGUAAAGGGAGCGUAGGCGGACUUUUAAGUGAGAUGUGAAAUACCCGGGCUCAACUUGGGUGCUGCAUUUCAAACUGGAAGUCUAGAGUGCAGGAGAGGAGAAUGGAAUUCCUAGUGUAGCGGUGAAAUGCGUAGAGAUUAGGAAGAACACCAGUGGCGAAGGCGAUUCUCUGGACUGUAACUGACGCUGAGGCUCGAAAAGCGUGGGGAGCAAACAGGAUUAGAUACCCGCGUA
rnacentral:rRNA from 1 species